rnacentral:rRNA from 1 species
UUACAUGGAUAACCGUGGGAAACUAGGGCUAAUACAUGCUUGGGCGCAGUGCGCUGCAUUUAUUAGAUAACACCUCGGGGCGACCCGUGAGGAACCACAAUAACUAAGCGAACUCGAAAAGAGUGAAGCAUUCAAGUUUCUGACCUAGCAGCUUGAUGGUAGUGUAUUGGACUACCAUGGCCGUGACGGGUACGGGGAAUUAGGGUUCGAUUCCGGAGAGGGAGCCUGAGAAACGGCUACCACUUCGUAAGAAGGCAGAAGGCGCGCAAAUUACCCAAUUCUAACUCAGUAAGGUAGUGACAAGAAAUUCCGAGGUAGGCCUCGUCUAUCCUCGGAUGGCGAAGAACCUAAACAAUUCUAUGACCCACUGGAGGGCAAGUCUGGUGCCAGCAGCCGCGGUUAUACCAGCUCCAGUAGCGUAUACUAAAAUUGCUGCAGUUAAAAUGCUCUUAGUUGAAUUUCAGUGGGGAGCUUGCUCCCCACUCUCUGAUGGAGACAUCAGGUUACCAUGAGCAAAUCAGAGUGCUCCAAGCUGGCUGUUGCCGACUGAAAAGCAUGGAAUAAUACUAGGACUGAGUCCCGUUGGUGUGCGACUCGGUAUGAUUAAUAGGAACAGUUGGGGGUAGCCGGACUCAGGAGCCAGAGGUGGAAUUCUAUGACUUCCUGAUGACGCACGAAUGCGAAGGCAGCUGCCAAGGAUGUUUUCAUUAAUCACGAACGAAAGUUAAGGGAUCAAAGACGAUCAGAUACCGUCGUAGUCUUAACUGUAAACGAUGCCGACUAGAAGCUGGAGGCGCAACUGACACUCCUUCAGAGUCUUCGAGAAAUCAAAGUCUUUGGGUUCUGGGAGGAGUACGGUCGCAAGACUGAAACUUAAAGGAAUUGACGGGGGGGCACCACCAGGAGUGGAGCUUGCGGCUUAAUUAGACUCAUCGCUGGAAAACUUACCAGGGCCAGAAGCCAGAAGGAUUGACAGGAUGCCACCUCUCUUGAUUUGGCUAGUGGUGGCGCAUGGCCGCCUAUGGUUCGUGGAGUGAUCUGUAAGGUUAAUUCCUGGAACGAACGAGACCUCCGCCCCUUACUAGUAAGUACUUCUUAGGGGGACAGUGGGGGGAACCCCAAGGAAGAUGGAGGCUAGGGCAGGUCAGUGAUGCUCUUAGACGCUCUGGGCCGCACGCGCGCUACACUGAUGCAGACAAAAAGCUCCUUGUCUGAAAAGAUCGGGAAACCAGCAAACUGCAUCGUGAUGGGGAUUGACUGCUGGAAUCGCAGUCAUCAACGAGGAAUUCCUAGUAAAGGCCAGUCAUUAACUGGCCUUGGAUACGUCCCUGCCCCUUGUACACACCGCCCGUCGCUCCUACUGAGUGCAUGGGUAGGCCAAUGUGCCGGAUCUGGAAGGA